rnacentral:Y_RNA from 15 species
GGUUGGUCCGAGGCUUGUGGGUUAUUGUUAAACUGUUUAGCAUUGUCUCCCCCCACAACCACAUUUGACUAACUAAGCUUUU